AUAUUCUCCAGCCCCAUCCGUCUGCAAUUUUCUCAACGCCGUAGUUGAUGAGGUUUGCAAUGAGGAUUCCAAUGCUGAUGCAGAGCUCAAAGCCAUUGCUGAUGGCACCACGGUACUGUGGUGGUGCCAUUUCUGAUAGGUAAUAAAGGGACCACAUAUGGGUACUCUCCAGACAGUAUAUUUGCGCCACUUGCCGAUUUUGACAAGGACAGAAGAGGACCUAGCAAUUUGGCUGUGGCUAGCUUGGAGUGGUUAGGUAAGAAAGGCACAGCUGUUACUUCAGAAAAUGAAUUUCACACUCUAAUUUUGGGCGUGUACUAACACUGUGUGGUAGCGUCGACUUAGAAAAAUUACUCGGAUGACUUGUCAACAAAGGACGGAUGGAUGCUCUGUCUGGGACCCCUGCAGUCUGCAACCUCUUGUUUUGUGUCGAAGUUGUAUGUGGAGUAUGCUUGUCUGGCACAGAAAGAGAUUUGUGAUUGGGAUAUAUGUAUCUUACCUGGUUGGUAAAGCCGAGUCCUAUGCCGAGGAGGAUCCUGUUGAGGAGGAGCAUGUAUAUGUUGACGGCUGCCCCGCCGAAGACUGAGCCGGCGAUGAAGACAGUGCCUCCGAUGAGUAUGGAUGCGCGGCGGCCGAACCUCCCGGUGACGGAUGAGGCGAAGAGGGUGGCGACGAGGCCAGCGACGUAGAGGGAGGAGGUGAAGACUGUAAGGAGCUCGCUGUCGAAGCGGCAGUAGUUGCUGACGUUCUUGUCCCCUUUCAUCUGGUGGUACACGUCCGGGAAGAACUUGUUGAGGAACGACUCCAUCGAGCCGAUGCAUCGUAUAUCUUGCUAAUAGCAAGAGACAAUGAUGCUAGCUCUAGCUGGAAGGAACAAGGAGAGGCAGGAACUGAAGCUCGCUCGCAUUCUACUGUUGGUAGGUACCUGAGAUGCCGAGGUCAUAGCCGAAAAGGAUGCCGCCGCUGCCGGCGACGAUGCAGGAGAGGACGACGAAGGACGUGACCCGGCCGUUGUAGCCGGCGCCGGCGGGGCCUUCCACGAAGGCGCCUAUUGCCAUAGCAGCUGAGCCGCCCGCCUUGUGCUUAAGCUGUCAGUCAGUGCAGAGCAGAUGGAUGUAUGAGCGGCGGGAUGGAGGCAGGCAGUUGUGUACCCGCUGUGGCAAUGUCGAUGGUGUGACCUGACCUGACCGGCCUCUUUCACUCAGAGAGUCGAGACAAAAGUGGAAUUCAAGGCAAAAUAUAUCUUAGUUUAUUUAUAAUAAGUGAUUGAUAUUGAUAUUUAUUUUGUUUGAUUUUUGGUUUUAUAUGAGUUUUGAUGCUAUUUGAAUUGAUUUGAGAUUUUAUUAGAGCAUAUUGAUUAUGGAUUAAUUGAAAUUAAAGUUAGAGAUAUGUGUUUGCUUGUCUUAUGGUGUGCAGGUGAUGGAUGCAAUUUGACGGUUGACAGUGGGAUGAUUGGGGCUAAAUGGAGUUUUUGGUGUCGGACAAUUAAGGAGGUCGGACGGAGUCAAUGGUGAUUUUAGCUGAACACGUGGAGAUCAAACAAAGUAUGAAAGACGGAUAGAGACGGUUUGUUGAUAAAAUCAAGCGAAGGGGAUGCCGAUGCAAGUGACAAGGUGGCCCGAGGGAUCGAGAGCGAGAGAGACUUUUUGGUAGUCAGAAUCGUAUGAUGAAGUACACGCGUCGACAUCGAAGCGCUUAUUUAAGAUGUAAGCAAGGCGGUGAGUCACGCUUUGAGAAGCGUGCAAACAGUUUCGCGAUUUGGCUUUAAAACCAUGGGAGGACUAGAGGAGUACGUGGUACCAUCGUGAAGCUUGCGUCAAAGUGAAGCUAAGUCGUGAAGAUGUCGCAGACAUUCGAUGAAUGAAGGAAAAAAUAGAUCAAAAUACCCUCGGUGGUAGGUAGGAGGUGUACUAUAAGAUAACUUGAGCCAUUUUAUGCCAUCUAUUUGAGAGCUUGGAAGUAGACUUUUAGAAAAGAGAAUAAUAAGUGUUUAGCCUAUGUAAUAGGUGAGAGUUUUGAGAGAUAAAUCUUUGUAAUCUGUCCAAAAUAGAGCUGAU